rnacentral:snRNA from 1 species
AUCACCUCUCGGUCUUUUGGCUAAGAUCAAGUGUAGUAUAUGUUCUUAUCAGUUUAAUAUCUGGUAUGUCCUCUAUCCGAGGACAAUAUAUUAAAUGGAUUUUUGGAAGUAGGAGUUGGAAUAGGAGCUUGCUCCAUCCACUCCACACAUCGAUCUGGUAUUGCAGUACCUCCAGGAACCGCGCAAAUUUU